UACGGAGGGUGCAAGCAUUGAUCGGAAUUACUGGGCGUAAAGGGCGCGUAGGCGGACUGAAAAGUCGGAUGUGAAAUUCCGGGGCUCAACCCCGGAGCUGCAUUUGAAACUUUCAGACUAGAGGAUAGUAAGGGAAAACGGAAUUCCACGUGUAGCGGUGAAAUGCGUAGAUAUGUGGAAGAACACCAGUGGUGAAGACGGUUUUCUGUACUAUUCCUGACGCUGAGGCGCGAAAGCUAGGGGAGCAAACAGG
rnacentral:rRNA from 1 species